AAAGACAGUGUAAAGAUGGAUGUAUACAAAUCUUUACACUUUAAUGUGAGAUCCUGAAAUGCCGCUAUUUUUUCACUGAUGUGCUCAGGAACCAUCCAUACAUGUAUCCAUGCAAACAUUCAUUUUUGUUACCUUCCUUUUCCUUUUCGUGCCACAGGGACCAGGUGCAUACCUCCAGUGGUCACUGUGUGAGAGGCGUGGUCCACCCUGGACAGAUCACAUGUCCAACACAGGGACACACAGAGGAAACACAGAGAGGAACCUCUGAGGUAUUGAGUUCCCUGCAUCCAUCAUUUUCAACGAGUUGGGAGCUCGGAACAGCGCCGGCAGCGUCUGCGUUAUCCAGCCGUAACUGACAUUGAGUGCAUUGUUUGCAGCUGGAAGCUCACGGCUGUGGCCUAAAGAGCCAUUUGUAAACAUCUUGAAGUGAAAUCCCAAGAGCAAACACUUCCAAAAGCCUUCAGCCGGCCGCUCUUCG